rnacentral:rRNA from 1 species
GACGAACGCUGGCGGCGUGCUUAACACAUGCAAGUCGAACGCUGAAGCUCAGCUUUUGUUGGGUGGAUGAGUGGCGAACGGGUGAGUAACACGUGAGUAACCUGCCUCCUUCUUUGGGAUAACGCCCGGAAACUGGUGCUAAUACUGGAUAUUCACUGGUCUUCGCAUGGGGGUUGGUGGAAAGUUUUUUUCUGGUGGGUGAUGUGCUCGCGGCCUAUCAGCUUGUUGGUGGGGUGAUGGCCUACCAAGGCUUUGACGGGUAGCCGGCCUGAGAGGGUGACCGGUCACAUUGGGACUGAGAUACGGCCCAGACUCCUACGGGAGGCAGCAGUGGGGAAUAAUGCACAAUGGGCGCAAGACUGAUGCAGCGACGGAGCGUGAGGGAUGGAGGCCUUCGGGUUGUGAACCUCUUUCGCUCAUGGUCAAGCCGCAACAAUGGUUGUGGUGAGGGUAGUGGGCAAAGAAGCGCCGGCUAACUACGUG